AGUGAACGCUGGCGGUAGGCCUAACACAUGCAAGUCGAACGGCAGCACAGUAAGAGCUUGCUCUUACGGGUGGCGAGUGGCGGACGGGUGAGGAAUACAUCGGAAUCUACUUUUUCGUGGGGGAUAACGUAGGGAAACUUACGCUAAUACCGCAUACGUCCUACGGGUGAAAGCAGGGGAUCUUCGGACCUUGCGCGAUUGAAUGAGCCGAUGUCGGAUUAGCUAGUUGGCGGGGUAAAGGCCCACCAAGGCGACGAUCCGUAGCUGGUCUGAGAGGAUGAUCAGCCACACUGGAACUGAGACACGGUCCAGACUCCUACGGGAGGCAGCAGUGGGGAAUAUUGGACAAUGGGCGCAAGCCUGAUCCAGCCAUACCGCGGGGGGGAAGAAGGCCUUCGGGUUGGAAAGCCCUUUUGUUGGGAAAGAAAAGCAGCAGGUUAAUACCCCGCUGUUCUGACGGUACCCAAAGAAUAAGCACCGGCUAACUUCGUG
rnacentral:rRNA from 1 species